UACAGAGGGUGCAAGCGUUUGUUCGGAAUUAUUGGGGCGUAAAGCGCGUGUAGGCGGCUUUUGCAAGUCGGGUGUGAAAGCCCUCAGCUCAACUGAGGAAGUGCGCCCGAAACUGCAGAGCUUGAGUGCCGGAGAGGGUGGCGGAAUUCCCCAAGUAGAGGUGAAAUUCGUAGAUAUGGGGAGGAACACCGGUGGGCGAAGGCGGCCGA
rnacentral:rRNA from 1 species